rnacentral:rRNA from 1 species
AACGAACGCUGGCGGCAGGCCUAACACAUGCAAGUCGAGCGGCAGCGGAAAGUAGCUUGCUACUUUGCCGGCGAGCGGCGGACGGGUGAGUAAUGUCUGGGAAACUGCCUGAUGGAGGGGGAUAACUACUGGAAACGGUAGCUAAUACCGCAUAACGUCGCAAGACCAAAGAGGGGGACCUUCGGGCCUCUUGCCAUCAGAUGUGCCCAGAUGGGAUUAGCUAGUAGGUGGGGUAACGGCUCACCUAGGCGACGAUCCCUAGCUGGUCUGAGAGGAUGACCAGCCACACUGGAACUGAGACACGGUCCAGACUCCUACGGGAGGCAGCAGUGGGGAAUAUUGCACAAUGGGCGCAAGCCUGAUGCAGCCAUGCCGCGUGUAUGAAGAAGGCCUUCGGGUUGUAAAGUACUUUCAGCGGGGAGGAAGGUGCUGAGGUUAAUAACCUCAGCAAUUGACGUUACCCGCAGAAGAAGCACCGGCUAACUCCGUGCCAGCCGCCGCCGUAA